rnacentral:rRNA from 1 species
UACGUAGGGGGCAAGCGUUAUCCGGAUUUACUGGGUGUAAAGGGAGCGUAGACGGUUUAGCAAGUCUGAUGUGAAAACCCGGGGCUCAACUCCGGGAUUGCAUUGGAAACUGUUAGACUUGAGUGCAGGAGAGGUAAGUGGAAUUCCUAGUGUAGCGGUGAAAUGCGUAGAUAUUAGGAGGAACACCGGCGGCGAAGGCGGCUUACUGGACUGUAACUGACGUUGAGGCUCGAAAGCGUGGGGAG